rnacentral:rRNA from 1 species
UACGUAGGGUGCAAGCGUUGUCCGGAUUUAUUGGGCGUAAAGAGCUCGUAGGCGGUCUGUCGCGUCGGAUGUGAAAACCCAGGGCUCAACCCUGGGCCUGCAUUCGAUACGGGCAGACUAGAGUGUGGCAGGGGAGACUGGAAUUCCUGGUGUAGCGGUGAAAUGCGCAGAUAUCAGGAGGAACACCGAUGGCGAAGGCAGGUCUCUGGGCCACUACUGACGCUGAGAAGCGAAAGCAUGGGGAGCAAACAGG